CCCAGGUAAAGUAGAUAUGAACAGAAUCUCCUCUGUGACUAUACCGUCACUGAUGGAGAGAAUGAUCCAGCAAAUCCCUUUCCCAGACAUCCCAAAUUGCCUUUGGUCGCUACUAUAUCGCUGCAUCUGAUGAAACAACAGCAGCAUACACGGUUAAAACACGACAGUGAAAAAAAUAAUAACGUUACAGAAGACGUCCAUGUACUUGUGACACCAAGACCUCACGGACGACUCUACAUCUGGAAAACUGUCUCAGUUGCAUUAUGGAGGAGAGACAGGCAUCUUCUCAUGCCCAAGAUUAUCCGACUCACCCGCUGGUCCCCUCCCUCUCGGCGGGGAUCGAGCUUCUUGGUGAAGUGCCUCAGGUUGUCAUAGUUGUGGAAGUUGAACAAGGACACUAGAUCCUACAGCCGGAGAGAAAGCCACAGGGGAUCAGUCUUAGAGGUCAAAGGUUCAAGCGCACACACACUGAAGCACUGUGUUGAGUGUCUGAAAGUGGUCUGCUAGUGACAGGAAAGUAGAGAAGAAGAGAAGGUGCCUGCUUUCAUUAAAGCCCAUGAUGAUGCUGAAAUGAACCUCCAUCACGAUUAAACUUCUCAGAUUCCAGAACUAUUCUUUUUUUCUUCCCUAU